rnacentral:rRNA from 1 species
GAUGAACGCUGGCGGCGUGCCUAAUACAUGCAAGUCGAGCGAACUGAUUAGAAGCUUGCUUCUAUGACGUUAGCGGCGGACGGGUGAGUAACACGUGGGCAACCUGCCUGUAAGACUGGGAUAACUUCGGGAAACCGAAGCUAAUACCGGAUAGAAUCUUCUCCUUCAUGGGAGAUGAUUGAAAGAUGGUUUCGGCUAUCACUUACAGAUGGGGCCCGCGGUGCAUAGCUAGUUGGUGAGGUAACGGCUCACCAAGGCAACGAUGCAUAGCCGACCUGAGAGGGUGAUCGGCCACACUGGGACUGAGACACGGCCCAGACUCCUACGGGAGGCAGCAGUAGGGAAUCUUCCGCAAUGGACGAAAGUCUGACGGAGCAACGCCGCGUGAGUGAU